rnacentral:ncRNA from 1 species
CAUCUAAGGCUAAAUACUGGCACAAGACUGAUAGGCAACAAGUACCCGUAAGGGAAAGUUGAAAAGAACUUUGAAGAGAGAGUUCAAGAGGGCGUGAAACUGUUAAGAUGUGCCUGAGGACGCUGUGAGGCAGGUAGCAGCCCCUGGCGCGCCAGGACCAGGUCUUCUUGGAGUUGGGUUGCUUGGGAAUGCAGCCCAAAGUUGGUGGUAAACUCCAUCUAAGGCUAAAUACUGGCACAAGACUGAUAGGCAACAAGUACCCGUAAGGGAAAGUUGAAAAGAUACUACAGUUAGUAGUUCUGCAAUUUCAUAUAUGAUUUCUUUCAGAACUCCUAGGUGAAUACCAUCUGAUCCUGGUGACAUUAUUGUUUUAAUUUAUCAAUUUGUUCUAAAACUUCCUCUAUUGACAUCUCAGUCUGUGACUGUUCCUCAAAUUUGUCACCUAAAAUGAAUGACUCAGGUGUGGGAAUCUCCCUCACAUCCUCUGCUAAGACCAAUACAAAUAAUUCAUUUAGUUUCUCCGCAAUGGCCUUGUCCUCCUUGAGUGCUCCUUUAGCACCUUGA